ACCACCACCACCACCACCACCACCACAGAAAGCACUAAGCUUGGCUGAAACACCUGCAUUUUGGAGCUGCCUUACUCAAGGGAGCAAAAAAGAGACAAUGUUUAUCCAUAAUAUUGCCAACGGAAUGGCUUGUGGGGCUACUUUGAAAAGGACUAUGGAUUUCGAUCCAUUGAUGAACCAGGCGUCCCCCAAAAGGAGGAGGUGCACCCCAAUGUCUCAAGCCGCCUCGACUUCAUCACCCCAGAAAUAUCUGCGUAUGGAGCCCUCACCAUUUGGAGAAGUGUCGUCCAGACUCACAACGGAGCAAAUCCUGCACAAUAUCAAGCAAGAGUACAAGCGGAUGCAGAAGCGAAGGCACCUGGAGAACAGCUUUCAGCAGACCGAGGGCUGUUGUCCCCUGGAGUCACAACCCCAUAGCUCCAUCCUUAAUGGAUCCAGUCUGCCAGGAACAUCUUCUGGUGCUGUCUCCCCAUCUAGAAAAGAGCAACCUCUAUUUACCUUGAGACAGGUUGGGAUGAUCUGUGAACGACUACUUAAAGAACGAGAGGAGAAGAUAAGGGAAGAAUAUGACGAAAUAUUGACAACAAAACUAGCAGACCUUUUUCUCUCUUUUUGCAGAGCAAUAUGAUGCUUUCGUUAAGUUCACUCACGAUCAGCUAAUGCGGCGAUUUGGAGAGCAACCUGCUAGCUAUGUUUCCUGAGUGAAACCUCAUAUUUGAUGGAUUACCAAUUUCCCAUUUUAUUAUUGCUCAAACUUCCCAUUUGAUUAUCUGCCAACCGUGUUCUCCAGAGACUCACAGGCUCUAUUUGGACUUGUAGCAGUGCCAUAUCUCCCCUGUGGGCUUAGGAUGCCUCAAGCUUCUGUCAGUGGCAACUACGUUCUCUUCAGCGACUGGUAUUUGUGCUACGGCUUAAAUGGCACCCAAUUUACUACUUUUGGCCAGCGCCCAUAGAGCUAUGGUCAAAAUUAGUGCACUAUAUAUAAAAUAGGGUGCCAUUUUGGAUGAAACCUUGGAGUGCUUCCUGCUGUCAACACAUAUAUGGACCUCUGCUACCUAUUACUCUACCAGUGGCCUCUGUUGUUUUAAUUGCUGUAUUGAUAUUUAUUAGGCUUUUUUCUUAGGCCUUUUUAUAAAGUGACCUGCCAUUCCCAACUCUGCUAACCUCGUCUUAGAUCUGUUUGUGCUCUUUCCAACUACAUUGCUGUCCUUGUCAAGCUAAGACAAUGAGUGACAAGGAGUUGGCAUUAUAGCCCAAACAGACUGGCACUCAGGCUAUGACUCUGCCACCACACAUUUAGAUUUAUUUUGUUCCAUAAACAUGCUUCUUUGUUUCAAAAAUGACGAGACGCAACUUUUUUUAUUUUUUAAUCAAAUCAACUUAUACAGUUGGGAGGGGUGGUCCACUACAAAAGAGCAGAUAAUCCAAGGAAGCUUCUGGACUGGACUCCAGGAGAGGACAUCCUAUGAUCUAUCAGCUAUGGUUACAUUGUAAUGGUAAAUGGCUUGUGUAAAUUAUGUCGUUUUGCCUGACCUUUGUUACAGUUAUCCUUUAAAAAAAAAAAAUCUACAAAAAAAGUGCUAUCAUUUUUUCCCUGUUUAUUUUAUUGGCUAUGUAGCUUAAUGGACUUGGGUUGGGUAAAGCUAAUGAAUAAUAGGUUUACAUUAAAGGAUGUUCCAUUUUCACAUUGUCUUUUUCAUAGUAAAAAAUGCUAGAAUAGUUGACAUCUUUGUUCAAUUUAUCUCUUCCAAGUGUGCCGGAGAAGGUUCCACUUCAGUCAUUGCUUUUGAUGGUGUUGAUUUUGGACUGUAUAAUCCAUCUCCUCCACCAUUUGAGAAGGAGAACUUUGAAGGUAUUUUAUCUUGUCCAAACACAUAAAUGUUCAUAGUAGCUAGGUUUCCAUCCAAUUGGUGAUAGAUUUUCAGGUGAAUAUUGUAUAAUCUGCAUAAAAACAAUGUUCAUUUUUCCCACCAGAUGUGUUUUCAUUGAAUUGACUUGUUAUGGAUAAAAGGCUGUGCGUGAUGACGUAGUGGACAUGCAAAUGCAUAUUGUGGUUAAAUUCCCAUGUAUCGAAUAAAAAUGUUAAAGUUAAA